ACUGCCUGUCCUGUUCCUCUCUGCAACUGCCACGGCACGGUUAGCUAGAAAACCUCCAAUUGGCUUCGACGAGUUCUACGCGUUCUUUGCAGUUCUUCAUUUCUGGUACCGUACUAACUACGUCGAGCUUGGCUAUAUUUUAUUCGCCUUGGAGUUGAUUUUCCCCUUUGCGUCGUCAGCAUGAUUACAGGGGGAAUCAAACGAGCAAGCAAGAGAGCCACACAAUCAUACAGCUCGUCGGAGCCUCUUUUUUUUCCCCUUAUUAUGCAGACUGCAGACAGAGCGGCACACAUCGGGAACCCUUUGUCUUUGCUUUCCUCUGCAUCCUCAUGGCCGCCUCCGGCCUUCUGACCACCCUCGUGCAUACUAUAUUCUCCUCGUGCCGUAUCAGCAUCAUGCGUCCGUGAUUCUAUUAAAUCCUUUGCCAUCAUGAAUAUACAUACAUAGGCAGGCCGCCCAGGAUUAUUUUUUUUCUCUUCUAAAUAUAUUUCCAGCUGACAGUUGCUUGUUUUCAUUCAGUAACCGUGGCCUACCAAGCUGCGUGCUCAUCCCUCUGUAAUCGAAUUAUGCAGCAAUCAGGCGAGCAAUUUGUUUUGGAGCAGGUUUGGUUGAUGCCUAAUUUGUGUUUGUGAAUACAGGUGCCUUUCAGAGUGGUGUGGUGUGAUAAUUCAGCACGGCACCGCUGGACAGGAAUCGGCCGAUGGCCAUCGCUCUGUGUGAUGUGUCCUUGUUUGGAUGGAUUGGAUAGGACGGCCUUUCAGUUGCCUCGGAUGGUCUUCUCACUAGUCGCUUUCUUUUGGUGAAAGCGAAAGCGUCAGAAUGCGAUGCGAUUUGGCCUUGUUUAGGGUUUCAAUAGAGAAGAUACCAAGGUGUUCUUCCUAUAAUUUUUUUUCUCACGUCCGUUGAUGUUAUAGAAGAAGGAUACUUAUAUGAUUUUAGGUUUCAGUUUUAGCAUAACUGAAAGAUGCCUGCCUGAAUUGAACAUUUUCUACACCAACGAUUUCACUUUCACCAAACCUGCAAGUUGACACCGUGAGUCCGUGACGACGUGUACAGAAUACUUAAGCUGAUAGAUUGCAGCAACCAAAUGUUAUA